GCUUGCUUUGGCAACACAUAUACUAAAAUUGGAAUGAUACAGAAAAGAUUAGCAUGGCCCUGUGCAAGGAAGACACACAAAUUUGUGAAGCAUUUCAUUGUUUU